UACGUAGGGGGCAAGCGUUGUCCGGAAUUAUUGGGCGUAAAGAGCUCGUAGGCGGUUCAGUAAGUCGGGUGUGAAACCCCCAGGCUCAACCUGGGGACGCCACCCGAUACUGCUGUGACUAGAGUCCAGUAGGGGAGUGUGGAAUUCCCGGUGUAGCGGUGAAAUGCGCAGAUAUCAGGAAGAACACCAAUGGCGAAAGCAGCUUUCUGGGACGGUACUGACGCUGAGACGCGAAAGCGUGGGGAGCGAACAGG
rnacentral:rRNA from 1 species